rnacentral:rRNA from 1 species
AUUGAACGCUGGCGGCAUGCUUUACACAUGCAAGUCGAGCGGCAGCGCGGGGGCAACCCUGGCGGCGAGCGGCGAACGGGUGAGUAAUGCAUCGGAACGUCUCCUCGUGUGGGGGAUAACCCAGCGAACGUUGGGCUAAUACCGCAUGAGCUCUGAGGAGGACAGCGGGGGACCUGCGCGGGCCUCGCGCUGGCGGAGCUGCCGAUGUCCGAUUAGCUAGUUGGUGGGGUAAAGGCUUACCAAGGCGACGAUCGGUAGCUGGUCUGAGAGGAUGAUCAGCAACACUGGGACUGAGACACGGCCCAGACUCCUACGGGAGGCAGCAGUGGGGAAUUUUGGACAAUGGGGGCAACCCUGAUCCAGCCAUGCCGCGUGAGGGAAGAAGGCCUUCGGGUUGUAAAGCGCUUUCGGUCGGAACGAAAUGGGCGGGACUAAUACUCCGGUCUGAUGACGGUACCGUAAGAAUAAGCACCGGCUAACUACGUG